AGAUAUUUAUAUUAUUAAUAGGAAAGUCAUAAAUAUAUAAAUUAUAUUAUAUAAUUAAUAUAAUAAUAAAAUAAAUUAUAUAUUUUAUUUAUAAUAUUAUUUCUUUAUAAGAUAAAAUAUUAUCUGAUGAAUAAUUAGAUUAAAUAAUAUUUAUAAAGAAAUAUAUAUAUAUAUAAAAAGUCAUUAUAUAAAUUUAAUUAUAAUUUAAAUAAAUUUUAUAUAAAUUAAUAUAAUAUUAAUAAAGUAAUUAGUAUAAAUAAAUAAUAUGAAAAUAAAACUUAAUAAAUAUAUAAAUAUAGUCCAUAUAUAUAUAUUAAUAAAAAAAAGUAAUAUAUAUAUAUAUAUUGGAAUAGUUAUAUUAUUAUACAGAAAUAUGCUUAAUUAUAAUAUAAUAUCCA
rnacentral:RNase_MRP_RNA from 1 species